UAACUUCAUCUCAAAUAAAUGUUAGCAGAAAUCAAGGCAGCUAUGACUUCCCUACUGCUCCUUUUCCUUAUCUUUCUCGCAUUAUGCAAUCAAGACUCCUUCUGUCAGAUUUCAGUAAUCCAGACUCCAAGAACCAUGUCAGUUAUUGCUGGAGACUGUGUCACAUUCACCUGUACAGCAAUCUGCGAUAUGAGUAAUGGAAUAUCCUGGUACCAUCAGAGACCUGGAGAAGCCCCUAAGCUCCUGAUCUAUGAGACAGAAUUCCUCGCAGAUGAUACUCCUAGUCGCUUCAGUGGCAGCAGAUCAGAUACUGAAUACACAUUGACGAUCAAUGGAGUUGAGCCAGAAGACGCAGGGAAUUACUACUGCAUGCAGUAUUUGGAAUAUUCUCUCACAGAGUGACAGAGAGCUGAGCAAAUAACCUCUCCUUUCUUGAAGGACAUGCAGGUGCAGAGGCACCAGUGCAAGACCCGUUUGAAGCUAGAUGCUGAUCAAGUGAUCAGGCUAUUUAUACAACUUAUGUUGAGUGACUUUUUAA